rnacentral:rRNA from 1 species
UACGAAGGGGGGCUAGCGUUGCUCGGAAUGACUGGGCGUAAAGGGCGCGUAGGCGGAUGGCACAGUCAGAUGUGAAAUUCCCGGGCUUAACCUGGGGGCUGCAUUUGAUACGUGUGAUCUAGAGUGAGGAAGAGGGUCGUGGAAUUCCCAGUGUAGAGGUGAAAUUCGUAGAUAUUGGGAAGAACACCGGUGGCGAAGGCGGCGACCUGGUCCUUGACUGACGCUGAGGCGCGAAAAGCGUGGGAGCAAACAGG